UACGUAGGGGGCAAGCGUUGUCCGGAAUCAUUGGGCGUAAAGAGCGUGUAGGCGGCCCGAUAAGUCUGCUGUGAAAGUCCAGGGCUCAACCCUGGGAUGCCGGUGGAUACUGUCGGGCUCGAGUCCGGAAGAGGAGUGUGGAAUUCCCCAAGUAGAGGUGAAAUUCGUAGAGAUGGGGAGGAACACCGGAGGCGAAGGCGGCCACCUGGGAGGUAACUGACGCUGAGACGCGAAAGCGUGGGGAGCAAACAGG
rnacentral:rRNA from 1 species